rnacentral:rRNA from 1 species
GUAACACUAACUGGAGGACCGAACCGACUAAUGUUGAAAAAUUAGCGGAUGACCUGUGGCUGGGGGUGAAAGGCCAAUCAAACCGGGAGAUAGCUGGUUCUCCCCGAAAGCUAUUUAGGUAGCGCCUCGUGAAUUCAUCUCCGGGGGUAGAGCACUGUUUCGGCUAGGGGGCCAUCCCGGCUUACCAACCCGAUGCAAACUGCGAAUACCGGAGAAUGUUAUCACGGGAGACACACGGCGGGUGCUAACGUCCGUCGUGAAGAGGGAAACAACCCAGACCGCCAGCUAAGGUCCCAAAGUCAUGGUUAAGUGGGAAACGAUGUGGGAAGGCCCAGACAGCCAGGAUGUUGGCUUAGAAGCAGCCAUCAUUUAAAGAAAGCGUAAUAGCUCACUGGUCGAGUCGGCCUGCGCGGAAGAUGUAACGGGGCUAAACCAUGCACCGAAGCUGCGGCAGCGACACUCAGGUGUUGUUGGGUAGGGGAGCGUUCUGU